rnacentral:lncRNA from 13 species
AGAUGCUAGCCUUAUAGAGCAAGGGAGGAGAGUCCAGGAGGGACUCUCAGCAGAAUCAAUGUCUAAAAAAUUCUUUUGUUUUUGUUUUUGUUUUUUAUUUUUUGAGACGGAGUUUUGCUCUUGUUGCCCAGGCUGGAGUGCAAUGGCGCGAUCUCGGCUCACCGCAACCUCCACCUCCUGGUUUCAGGCAAUUAUCCUGCCUCAGCCUCCUGAGUAGCUGGGAUUACAGGCACACACCACCGUGCCCAGCUAAUUUUUUUGUGUUUUUAGUACAGACGGGGUUUCACCAUGUUGACCAGGAUGGUCUCGACCUCUUGACCUCAUGAUCCACCCGCCUCGGCCUCCCGAAGUGCUGAAAUUACAGGCGUGAGCCACUGUGCCCGGCCUAAAAAAAUUCUUUAAAGGUCUGAAAAAAUGGCUCUCAAGUUUGGCAAGUACUGUGCCUUUGAUGGACGUGGCAAGAGCAAUUCCAAAGGCAGAAGUCAGACCGCAACAGGAUAUAGUGGGGCACUGAGAAGGAUAAGACAUCAGUUUGAAAAGCAUGCCUGUCAGAGCAACAUGAAUUCUGCUAGAACAGAAGCCAAAACAAACAACGUUUUAAAAUUUUAAAGUUUUAAUUUUUUUAGAGAUAGGGUCUUACUCUGUUACCCAGGUUGGAGUGCAAUAACAUGAUCGCAGCUCACUGUAACCUGAAACCACUGGGUUCUAGUAAUCCUCCCACUUCAGCCUCCUCAGUAGCUGGAACGACAGAUGUGUCCCAUAUCACACUCAGCUUUUUAAAAAAUUUUUUUGUAGAGAUGAGGUUUUGCUAUGAUGCCUAGGCUGAUCUCAAAAUGGCCUUAGACAAUCCUCCUACCUUGGCCUCCCAAAGUGUUGGGAUUACAGGUGUGAACCAUUACACCCAAUCUCAAAUAUUUGUGUGGAAAAAUGAUGAAAUCAUUGAUGCUUUAUGAAAAGAUUUAUGGAGACACUAUCCCCAGAGAAAUCAGUGGUUUGCAAAUGAGUAACUUGUUUUAGGAAGUGGUGAGGUAAUUUUGAAGAUGCAGCCCUUCGCAGCACACUGUCUACAUCAAUUUUUGAGAAAAAAAAAUUAUUUCAUUGAUGUGAUAAUUGAAGAGGAUUGAUGAUUAACAGCAGAAAUGGUAGCAAACACUACAGACAUCUGAAUGGGUUCAGCUUCACAAUUCUGACUGAAAAAACAACAUUGAGCAAACUUCCCGCUCCACGAGUACCAAAACCAUUGUGCCCAGAUUAGCUGCAGACAAGAGCAGAGCUUUCAAUGGGAAUUUUUAAAAAUGGGAUCAACAUCCAGAAGCAUUUCUUCAAAGACUUGCCACAGGAGCUGAAACAGCUUUCCUAGUACCAUUGUA